rnacentral:lncRNA from 1 species
GACUCUGUACAGCGCUUGAAAGAAUAGGAAUUUAUGCUUAGCAAUCGAUGUUAGAAAGGACUUGAAUGUUUUUGGCCACCAUAGCGCAGUGGUUCUGUAUAGUUGGUUUUGAUUUUGAGUGUCCUGUUUCCAAGGGGUGUGUAUCAAGACAAAGUCACUGUCAGGGAAUCCUUGUCCUGUGAAAGUCUGAUGGAGGUGAAUUAUUAUGCAGGUAUGUAGUUUUAAAUUGGAAUUUCAUCAAGAUGAAAAGCAAUUUUUAAAUAUGAAAGUAUGCAACAUUUUUGUGUUGGUGAAAUGCAUGAAAACAAUAUUUAUAGCUGUGAUUUUGUAGUAGUUUCUAUCUGAGAUUUUUUUGUUAUAUGUGUAAAACUGAAGUUUGUUUUGGAAGGUCUUUUGUUUGGAAGUUUUUUUUCUUCCUCCUACCAUUCUUUCUUUACAGGUGUCCGUAAAACGAAAGAAAAAAAAAAAGAAAUCUGGAUUUUUUUUUCUCGUCCUCCUACCCAUUGGUUUUGUAAGAAAUUCGUAAAACUAAAAUAUUAAUAACUAUGGCCUUAUAGGAGUUGUUUCAGUUCACCCUUGUUUUUUUUACCUUUAAACCAAGACAAUAUCAAGAAUCUGAGAUGGUCCUUAAUGUUUAGAAUAAAACGGUUGACGUGAGGGCAUGUCUGAGCAUGGUAUAAGUCUACAGAUUGCUUGAAAGCAACGUAUCCCAAAACUUAAAAAAACCAAAAUUGGACAUUUACCUAUUAUGGUCCAAUAUCCAAAAUCUAAAUACAUGGUUAGAUUUAGCAUAUCAAAGAACCCCAAGAAUUCAAUUUUUGAUGAAUUUAAAUAAAGUUAAAUUUUGGACUCUUUAGACCUCAAUGUGGACCAAUUUGCGACUCUGUACAGCGCUUGAAAGAAUAGGAAUUUACGCAUAGGGAUCGAUGUUAGAAAGGACUUGAAUGUUUUUGGCCACCAUGGCGCAGUGGUUCUGUAUAGUUGGUUUUGAUUUUGAGUGUCCUGUUUCCAAGGGGUGUGUAUCAAGGCAAAGUCAUUGUCAGGGAAUCCUUGUCCUGUGAAAGUCUGAUGGAGGUGAAUUAUUAUGCAUGUAUGUAGUUUUAAAUUGGAAUUUCAUCAAGAUGAAAAGCCAUUUUUAAAUAUGAAAGUAUGCAACAUUUGUGUGUUGGUGAAAUGCAUGAAAACAAUAUUUAUAGCUGUGAUUUUGUAGUAGUUUCUAUCUGAGAUUUUUUUGUUAUAUGUGAAAAAAAAAAUUAGUAGCCAAUAGCAAACAGUUCACUCUGACUGAAUCUUAGUUACUUAGGAUAGUCUGUCCAACUUUGCCCCAGGAUAUCAUUUGAAUUGUCUCCUAAAGGAGGGAAUCAAAACCAUCAUACACAAACAUGAUUGGAGUCUCAAACAAUUUUGUAAUCUAAAAUGUAUUUUUCAGUUUAAAACAAAAUUCCUUAUAUAUAUAUAUAUAUAUAUAUAUUUAUAUAUAUAAAUAUAUUAAAAAUGUACAAGGCAGAAAAAGUGGUAUGAUAUGAUUGAAUCACUGGCAUGAAUGAAACAAUUUCUGAGAUUGUUUUCAUCUUUUAUUUUAAAUAGGUAUCACACAGGUUUUCAAUGAUGUUUGCUUUUUUUGCAGGGACUUUGAAGGCAUUGCAAACAAUCCUGAAAUAGUUCAGCUCAAGGAAGACUUCAGUAUUGUGCGGCCCAUAUGUGAAGGAUGCAUUGGCAGAGGAAUGAAACCUGCGACCAGGAAUGCCAAAAAAGUUAAAAAGUCC